rnacentral:rRNA from 1 species
UACAGAGGGUGCGAGCGUUGUUCGGAAUUACUGGGCGUAAAGCGCGCGCAGGCGGCCCUUUAAGUCCGUCGGUCAAAUGCCGGGGCUCAACCCCGUUGCAUGCCGCGGAUACUGGAGGGCUGGAGACACGUAGAGGCAAGCGGAAUUCCGGGUGUAGCGGUGGAAUGCGUAGAGAUCCGGAAGAACACCGGUGGCGAAGGCGGGUCUCUGGGCCGAUACUGACGCUGAGGAGCGAAAGCGUGGGGAGCGAACAGG